rnacentral:rRNA from 1 species
GACGAACGCUGGCGGCGUGCUUAACACAUGCAAGUCGAACGCUGAAGCUCAGCUUUUGUUGGGUGGAUGAGUGGCGAACGGGUGAGUAACACGUGAGUAACCUGCCUCCUUCUUUGGGAUAACGCCCGGAAACGGGUGCUAAUACUGGAUAUUCACUGGUCUUCGCAUGGGGGUUGGUGGAAAGGGUUUUUCUGGUGGGGGAUGGGCUCGCGGCCUAUCAGCUUGUUGGUGGGGUGAUGGCCUACCAAGGCUUUGACGGGUAGCCGGCAUGAGAGGGUGACCGGUAACAUGGGGACUGAGAUACGGCCCAGACUCCGACGGGGGGGGGAAGUGGGGAAAAUUGCACAAAGGGCGCAAGCGUGAUGCAGCGACGCCGCGGGAGGGAUGGGGGCCUUCGGGUUGUGAACCUCUUUCGGACAAGGUCAAGCCGCAACAAUGGUUGUGGUGAGGGUAGUGGGUAAAGAAGCGCCGGCUAACUACGUG